AUGGCAUCGGGCUGCAAGAUUGGCCUGUCCAUCCUCAAUGCUACCUGGCCAAUUUAGGGGCCCAGUGCCUCUGGAUGCUAGACUCUGGGGUCGAUUAUCUCCACCGGAAUGUAAUGGAUGAACAUGCAUGUGAUGGUGUCCAAGCCAGAACAGUGGGUAAAGCCAAUGGCUAUAAGAGGAGCCAAUCAGUACAUCUUUCAUCUCGAGGAAACUGAGAACCCAGGGGCUUUGAUUAAAGACAUUCAGGAGAAUGGGAUGAAGGUUGGCCUUGCCAUAAAACCAGGAACCUCAGUUCAGUAUUUGGCACCAUGGGCUAAUCAACUAGGUAUGACCUUGGUUAUGACAGUGGAACCAGGGUUUGGAGGGCAUAAAUUCAUGGAAGAUAUGAUGUUAAAGGUUCACUGGUUGAGGAUCCAGUUCCCAUCUUUGGCUAUAGAGGUCGCUGGUGGAAUAGAUCCUGACACUGUCCAUAGGUGUGCAGAGGCGAAGCUAACAUGAUUGUGUCUGGCAGUGCUAUGGUGAGGAGUGAAGACCCUAGAUCUGUGAUCAGCCUGUUAAGAAACAUUUGCUCAGAAGCUGCUCAGAAAGAUUCUCUUGAUUGA
rnacentral:lncRNA from 1 species